GUUGUAGGGGACACCAUGCAUCCGGAACAAGGCAGAUGAAAGAUGAAAACCUAGGCAAGCCCUCUGCUUUUGCAGAAGGAACGUGGCCGCAGGCUUUUCAGCAUUGAAUUUGAACAAGCCAAUGGUAUCCCAAUCAUCGAAACAGGAAGCCAGAUAAACAGCAUGUUAUCAAGGGGGGAUCCGGGCGCUUCCCUUAAGCCGGCGCCAGCUGCGCCCUGUGGCUGUCCUAACAAAGUCCCAUUGACUCACCAGCUGAUUUUCCCGUGUUGGGCUCCGGGGGACAAGAAACCCCCUCUGCUGAGUGGACUUCACCCCUGCACACCGCCCCCACCACUCACCACUCACGCCCUCCCCUGAUCCCGUCUCCCCUCUCUGCCCUCUGCAGACUUGGCUGAUUCUUUAUCCUAGGACCAGGUUAUAUUGGGGAACACUUCCACUGGGCUGGCGCCAAAGAGGACAGCCUCCGGGAGUGUGGCCGGCCGACGCUUCGCAGCACAACUUGGGCACCCAGUGAACAUUUUCUGGAACAGCCCGGCAAGGUCACCUGCUCCAGCUGCUCUGCUCGCUCCGCUGGGAUGGGAGAAAACACGGGUAUUUCACAGAAAGGGAAACUGAGGCUCCGAAAGGCUGACGCUGGUAGCCCCUAGUGAGUCAAGUCCUGGAGCAGACGCGCGGUCCCCCAGGGACGCCUCGGCACACACCCUCCCGGGAAGCCGCCAGCGCCUCCGUUGUUAUUCCAGCGCCUCUCUCGAGCCCAGCCCGCAGCCUCCCCGGGGCACCAGGCUCACCUCCCCCCGGGGAUCUGUCCCGGCCCGGCAAAGUGGGAAGCGGCGGCCGCCGCGCGCAGUCCGGUCCCCGCCCCCGCGACGACCCCGCGCGGGCCACUCACC